GCCGGCUCUUCUUUGCCUCUGCUGGAGUCCGGGGAGUGGCGUUGGCUGCUAGAGCGAUGCCGGGCCGGAGUCGCGUCGCCUUAGUCCUCCUGGCUGCCGCCGUCAGCUGUGCCGUCGCGCAGCACGCGCCGCCGUGGACAGAGGACUGCAGAAAAUCAACCUAUCCUCCUUCAGGACCGACGUACAGAGGUCCAGUUCCAUGGUACACCAUAAAUCUUGACUUACCACCCUACAAAAGAUGGCAUGAAUUGAUGCUUGACAAGGCACCGAUGCUAAAGGUUAUAGUGAAUUCUCUGAAGAAUAUGAUAAAUACAUUCGUGCCAAGUGGAAAAAUUGUGCAGGUGGUGGAUGAAAAAUUGCCUGGCCUACUUGGCAACUUUCCUGGCCCUUUUGAAGAGGAAAUGAAGGGUAUUGCCGCUGUUACUGAUAUACCUUUAGGAGAGAUUAUUUCAUUCAAUAUUUUUUAUGAAUUAUUUACCAUUUGUACUUCAAUAGUAGCAGAAGACAAAAAAGGUCAUCUAAUACAUGGGAGAAACAUGGAUUUUGGAGUGUUUCUUGGGUGGAACAUAAAUAAUGAUACCUGGGUCAUAACUGAGCAACUAAAACCUUUAACAGUGAAUUUGGACUUCCAAAGAAACAACAAAACUGUCUUCAAGGCUUCAAGCUUUGCUGGCUAUGUGGGCAUGUUAACAGGAUUCAAACCAGUAAGGAGUCUGUUGUUACAUAAUUAUACAGGUAGCCUUUUGUCCUAUUACUGUUACGUAAAAGUUGAAAUCUAAGAAUAUGAGGACCUAAAGGGAAUAUGAAGCCCCAUUUCACCCCCUUGUACUUCUUGUCACUUCAUAGGUAUGAGAUCUCGUGGUAGAGAAGAGUAGAAAGGAAACGGAGGUUUCUGAGCCUGUUCUGGGAUAAAGAGCAUGUGGCCGGGUGUCAAGGGCUGGGAGUCACAAUCUGAUUUCUAGUCCUAGGUCUUCCGCUCACUUAGGCAAGUCAGGCGUUCAUUCCCUGCCCUUCAGUUUCCUGUCCAAAAAGCGUUGCCAGUGAUACCCCACCUACUUAUCUCACAUACUAGAAUAAAAAAUGCUUUGAACUUUUUAAAAAGCCUUUUAUGGUUUUGAUUUAUUUUUGCCUUCCCCAUUACCAAAGCUAGGCCUUUAUAUCCCACUCUGAAGUACAGUGAGCGACAGGGCCUUAAAGCGCAUGGUUGAUGUUUCUGACUUCGUUGCUUUGUCUUUUUCUCAGGGACUGUUCAGUCUUUCACUGAAUGAACGUUUCAGUAUAAAUGGUGGUUAUCUGGGUAAGUAGAGCAUUCUCAAGUGAAAUGGGAAUCUCAGAGGUUUUUUAUGAGGAAGGCUGGACUGUGCCUUCUGGUUACAAAGUCCAACCUCUUCCGGUUCCCGACUGGUUACAAAGUCUAACCUCUUCUGGUUCCUGACUGGUUAUAUAGUCCAGCCUCUUCCGGGUCCUGACUGGUUACAUAGUGUAACCUCUUCCGGUUCCUGACAUUGUGUUCAUCUCUUCCAGGUAUUCUAGAAUGGAUUCUGGGAAAGAAAGAUGCCAUGUGGAUAGGGUUCCUCACUAGAACAGUUCUGGAAAAUAGCACAAGUUAUGAAGAAGCCAAGAAUUUAUUGACCAAGACCAAGAUAUUGGCCCCAGCCUACUUUAUCCUGGGAGGCAACCAGUCUGGGGAAGGUUGUGUGAUUACACGAGACAGAAAGGAAUCAUUGGAUGUAUAUGAACUCGAUGCUAAGCAGGGUAGAUGGUAUGUGGUACAAACAAAUUAUGACCGUUGGAAACAUCCCUUCUUCCUUGAUGAUCGCAGAACGCCUGCAAAGAUGUGUCUGAACCGCACCAGCCAAGAGAAUAUCUCAUUUGAAACCAUGUAUGAUGUCCUGUCAACAAAACCUGUCCUCAACAAGCUGACCGUAUACACAACCUUGAUAGAUGUUACCAAAGGUCAAUUCGAAACUUACCUGCGGGACUGCCCUGACCCUUGUAUAGGUUGGUGAGCACACGUCUGGCCUACAGAAUGCGGCCUCUGAGACAUGAAGACACCAUCUCCAUGUGACCGAACACUGCAGCUGUCUGACCUUCCAAAGACUAAGACUCGCGGCAGGUUCUCUUUGAGUCAAAAGCUUGUCUUCGUCCAUCUGUUGACAAAUGACAGACCUUUUUUUUUUCCCCCUAUCAGUUGAUUUUUCUUAUUUACAGAUAACUUCUUUAGGGGAAGUAAAACAGUCAUCUAGAAUUCAUUGAGUUUUGUUUCACUUUGACAUUUGGGGAUCUGGUGGGCAGUCGAACCAUGGUGAACUCCACCUCCGUGGAAUAAAUGGAGAUUCAGCGUGGGUGUUGAAUCCAGCACGUCUGUAUGAGUAACGGGACAGUAAACACUCCACAUUCUUCAGUUUUUCACUUCUACCUACAUAUUUGUAUGUUUUUCUGUAUAACAGCCUUUUCCUUCUGGUUCUAACUGCUCUUAAAAUUAAUAUAUCAUUAUCUUUGCUGUUAUUGACAGUGAUAUAAUUUUAUUACAUAUGAUUAGAGGGAUGAGACAGACAUUCACCUGUAUAUUUCUUUUAAUGGGCACAAAAUGGGCCCUUGCCUCUAAAUAGCACGUUUUGGGGUUCAAGAAGUAAUCAGUAUGCAAAGCAAUCUUUUAUACAAUAAUUGAAGUGUUCCCUUUUUCAUAAUUACUCUACUUCCCAGUAACCCUAAGGAAGUUGCUAACUUAAAAAACCGCAUCCCAGGUUCUGUUAAUUUAGUAAAUAAACAAGUCAAAGACUUGUGGAAAAUAGGAAGUGAACCCAUAUUUUAAAUUCUCAUAAGUAGCAUUCAUGUAAUAAACAGGUUUUUAGUUUGUUCUUCAGAUUGAUAGAUAGUUUUAAAGAAAUUUUAGUAGUUACUAAAAUUAUGUUACUUUAUUUUUCAGAAAUCAAACUGCUUAUGAAAAGUACUAAUAGAACUUGUUAACCUUUCUAACCUUCACGAUUAACUGUGAAAUGUACGUCAUUUGUGCAAGACCGUUUGUCCACUUCAUUUUGUAUAAUCACAGUUGUGUUCCUGACACU
rnacentral:sRNA from 1 species